AGCCCAGUCGGCAGCCCCGGCGCCCCCGCCCGUCAGGCCCCGCGCCCCCGCGCAGCGCCCCCAGCCGGUGCGCCCCCGCCAGGUCCCGCCGCGCAGCCCCGCCACUCUGCAGCUGAAGCGAACGCCACGGCCGGCCCCGCAGACCCGGGAGGAGGAAGAGGAGGAGGAGGAGGGGGAGGAGGGGACGCCGCGGAGGGAGGCGCGGGGAGGAGGGCUGGAGCCGAGACGAGGAAAUAAAUAAAUAAAACAAUAACCUCCGCGCCAAUAAGAGCGAGGGAGAGAGCAAGACGCGACCAGAGAGCCGCCGGGGCCCGCUCGCGCGCCUCUGAGAGGCUGUCCGCGCGCGCGCGUUUGUGCGUGAGUGUGGAUUUGCCGGGACUGGAGCUGGAAAGUUCAAACUAAACGUGUUGCUCUCUCCGGGUGCCGAGGCCGCGGCGGAGCCUGCCCAACUUGCCCCGGCCGAGUCAGUGGCGUUGCCCAGCUCCUUUGGCGAGGCGGCCGCCGCUCGGCUCUGCGCCCGGGCGCGGCGGCGGCGGCGGCGGCGGCGACGACUCCGCUCUCCCCGGGAGGGAGCCCGCGGCCAGGGCUGGACGCUCGCCCCGCCACCUCCACCGACUCUCUCUCCUCAGCCUCCGCGCCUGGCACCGCAGCAAGACUUGAAUGCAGUGAUCAUAUAAACUAAAGAAAGGAGAUUAAAAAUAACCUCUGGAUACUCUUCUCAUAUGAUCUUUAUUCUGGAUGAAGCAUUAGGACAGCUGAUAGACGUGUGUCACUGUAAGUAUUUUCUAAUGAACUUAGAACGUAUAUUUUUUUUGUUUCUGGAGAACAUAUCUUGUACACUUUCACAGAAUUUAAGAAUAAUAGAUGUAAUAUAGUAGCAGUAAUGGGCAGAACACUACAAAUUCCCAAAAUAAUAAGUGGCAAGAAUAGCAACAUGGAAAAGGAAAAUUAUUCCUAUUAUAGAAUCACGUAAUUAUUGAGUAAAUAUUUGGUAUAUAAACAAAAGAAAAGGAUGAAUCGUAAUUAUUUAUGAUGUCAGAGUGAUCUUUGCUAGAAUUUACUUAGGAGUGUGGCAGUUUUCUUAUGAGGAAGUAAAAUAAUUGUAAAGCUGUGCUAAGAAGAAUCAUAAUCUUACUAUGAA
rnacentral:lncRNA from 13 species